GCCCGCAUAGCUCAGUGGUAGAGCGCGUCACUAGUAAUCGCUAUCAUCUCUUCUCUCCAAGAAGAGAUUAUAUCCAUACCAUGACGAGGUCUUCAGUUCGACUCUGGAUGUGGGCA